rnacentral:rRNA from 1 species
UACAGAGGUGCCGAGCGUUCGGCGGAAUCACUGGGCUUAAAGCGUGUGUAGGCGGAUGCCUAAGUACCUUGUGAAAUCCCACAGCUCAACUGUGGAACUGCUUGGUAUACUGGGUGUCUUGAGCCACUUAGGGGUUACCGGAACAAAUGGUGGAGCGGUGAAAUGCGUAGAUAUCAUUUGGAACGCCAAUGGUGAAAACAGGUAACUGGGAGUGUGCUGACGCUGAGACACGAAAGCCAGGGGAGCGAACGGG